UCUGGGGUACCUUUCAGCUGAGCAGGCUGUCUUGAACACAGAUUCAGAAAUCCUCAAGCACCAUGUGUCCCUUCUUCCAGCCAUGGCUUGAAGACCAUCGUACUCUAGACUGCCUGUGUCAAUGAUAAACAUUUGAAGAAAGAUCAAAAGGAAUAGCAGUGCUUGGCUCAUGAGUCAACAUCUAUUGCAGAAGAUGAUAAGAUAGAAAAAUUCUGAGAAGAACUUGAUAUGGUUUCCUGAGUUAAAUCAAAUACACUUUAACUAUUCAGUGACUUCAAUGUAAAGGAAAUGAUGAAGAUGGUGUUUUGAGAAAAACCUCAGAAGACUUUUAUGAAGUGAUGCACAGUGAAGCAAUCAUGGAGGGUUUUUAAUACAUAGGAAUAUUAAAUUCUACAACCUUCAAAAAAUGAAUCAGAAAUCAUUCUUCAUCCCUCUCCCAUGAACACUAUUAAAGAAACAAGAAGACUGACCAAAUUCCUUCAACUCUCUCCAUUCUGUUAAUUCCUGACUUAGUACUCAAAAAGCCCUAAAGCAAAUAAAUCAUUCUUCCUUCCAUGGAAAGUACUGCUAAUUUUACAUCAUCCAAGUUACUGAUAGAAUUAUUUAACUGUUUAAAGAUUUUUUUUGUAGACAAAGUAUAUGAAGAGCUAUACAAUUUCUCUAAAUAAAUGAAACACUAAGUAA